rnacentral:rRNA from 1 species
CCUACGGGAGGCAGCAGUGAGGAAUAUUGGUCAAUGGACGCAAGUCUGAACCAGCCAUGCCGCGUGCAGGAAGACGGCCCUAUGAGUUGUAAAUUGUUUUUGUACGAGGGUAAACGCCGAUACGUGUAACUGUCUGAAAGUACCGUACGAAUAAGGAUCGGCUAACUCCGUUCCAGCAGCCGCGGUACUACGGAGGAUUCAAGCGUUACCCGGAUUUAUUGGGUGUAAAGGGUGCGUAGGCGGUCGGAUAAGUUAGAGGUGAAAUCCCGAGGCUCAACUUCGGAAUUGCCUCUGAUACUGUUCGGCUAGAGAGUAGUUGCGGUAGGCGGAAUGUAUGGUGUAGCGGUGAAAUGCUUAGAGAUCAUACAGAACACCGAUUGCGAAGGCAGCUUAC